UGUCCCUCUCAGCUUUACCAAAAACUAAAGUUGUCUUUCUCAACCUAAUUUUUCACGCCCCCGCUCAAUGUUCUAAGUUUCCUUCUCCAUGAAAAUUCUCAUCCCUCUCGAUGAAGCCCUCUCUCCCUAUCUGAGUUCAAACCCUCUCUCUCUCACCCUCUCUAUCACAUCUCUGCACCUAAACCCUCUCUCCCCAGCUCAAUCUUUUCUAAGCCGACUCGCACAUCUCAGAGAGACAGAGGCAACAAGGAGGGUGGACUUUGGUGUCGGCUUCGUCAGGAGGAUCUACGUCGGCGCCGUCUUCUGGAUCGUCGUCGCCUGCAUCUUCUGGAUAGUCAUCAUCGCAGGUAACUUCUCUUCGAGGUCCAGAGAGUGAAUCAGAAAGCCAAUCGAAAAGGUGAUGGCCAUCGGUGUCAUCAACAAAGUGAAUGUCGUCAUCGCGCUUGUCGCCUGCUCGUCGAUGUCACGGUCAUCGCGGUCCUAGCCUUUUAGAGAAGAAGAUCGCCAAAGAGGUUUCAUUUCAUUUUCCUCGACUCUCCGACCCCGACCUCAACCCCAACUCCAAAUCCUCUCUCUUCGAUCCCGGACCUCAAGGAAUCUGCAGGAUCUUGUGGACUUGCUGGAAUUGAAUGUGCCUCACAUAUAUAAUGUAAUUUCUAAACUACAAUACCUUGACCUUUGGGGGAGUAAAAUAUCUUAUCAAGGUACAAUUUCCUUGACCUUUGUUGUUAAAGUUAGCAUCUGGGUUCAAUAUUUUGUUUUGAAUGAGGCUUAUGUUUUGUUUGGUUUAAUUUGAUAAUUGCUAUUGCUUAUAUAUAUAUUUGGUUCUAUUUGAGUGGGUUAAAUUUGGUUCUAAUGUAGAGCAAAUCCUCUGUUUUAUUACUUUUCAGUUUUAUCUCUUUUUAGUUUUACCUGGACAGUGUGGCUGUGCUGAUGGGUAUGUGACUUUAUCUGCCUAUGUUUGUUUCUAGUCAAAUAAUUUUUACAGAAAUAUAUUGGAGGGCAAAUAAUUUUAUUUUAGUUUUUUUAUUACCAAAUGAUACCCAAGACAUGUAAGCUUCACACUAUGUUAAUUUCUGCAUGAUGGGAAAAUAUUGGACAAUGAGUUCGAGGUUGUUGAGGGAAUGAAGCUAGACAGGGGCUACAUAUCCCCUUAUUUCAUCACCAACCAGACAAAUAAAAAAUGUGAAUUGGAAAAUCCUCUAAUCAUAAUCCAUGAGAAGAAAAUCUCAAGUAUUAAUGCUGUGGUUAAAGUAUUGGAGUUGGUUUUGCAGUUAUGAUUUCAGAUAUGUACUUAACUUGUUGUUGCUGAUAUCGCUACACGGGAGGAGAAUAGAACAGCUUGGAAAAUGUGCAAGAAGGCAAAGCUAACUCAUACACUGAAGAACAAUUUGAUGAAGUUAAGAUCAAAUUAGUAGAAUUUGUGAGCUCCAUUAUUUAUAAUUAUAUGUAGGAAGUAUGUAUGUAAUAGAGCAAAGAUUUGUUGACUAUGUAAUAACUAUUGAAUUUUUAAGUUUUAUGUAAGAAAUAAUUUUUGAGCAUA